rnacentral:rRNA from 2 species
AGUUUUUGGUUGACUUUGGUGUUGAACAGGUUGGGAAGCCUGACCGGAGUGCGUGAUAGUCGUGUAAGCGCGAGUUGACCUUUGCUUGGACUUGAUACCCGAGUAGCAGCGGGCUCGUGGAAUCUGCUGUGAAUCUGCCCAGACCACUGGGUAAGCCUAAAUACUACAAGGUGACCGAUAGUGCAUAGUACCGUGAGGGAAUGGUGAAAAGUACCCCGGGAGGGGAGUGAAAUAGUACCUGAAACCGGAUGCCUAUAAGCCGUCAGAGCCAGUCGCCCCUUUUUUUUGGGGUGUGGUGAUGGCGUGCCUUUUGAAGAAUGAGCCUGCGAGUUAGUGGUAUGUGGCAAGGUUAACCCGUGUGGGGGAUCCGUAGCGAAAGCGAGUCUUAACUGGGCGUUUUAGUCGCAUGCUCUAGACCCGAAGCGGGGUGAUCUACCCAUGGCCAGGUUGAAGCAGAGGUAAGACUCUGUGGAGGACCGCACCCACCUAGGUUGAAAACUGGGGGGAUGAGCUGUGGGUAGGGGUGAAAGGCCAAUCAAACUCCGUGAUAGCUGGUUCUCCCCGAAAUGCAUUUAGGUGCAGCGUCGUGUUUAUCCUGCUGGAGGUAGAGCUACUGGUUGGUUAAUGGGCCAUUGCGGUUACUGAGGUCAGCUAAACUCCGAAUGCCAGUUAGGUUAGUGCACGGCAGUGAGACUGCGGGGGAUAAGCUUCGUAGUCGAGAGGGAAACAGCCCAGAUCAUCGGCUAAGGCCCCUAAGGGUGUGCUGAGUGGGAAAGGAUGUGGAGUUGCAUAGACAACCAGGAGGUUGGCUUAGAAGCAGCCACCCUUGAAAGAGUGCGUAAUAGCUCACUGGUCAAGUGAUUCCGCGCCGACAAUGUAGCGGGGCUUAAGCACACCGCCGAAGCCAUGGCACUCACACUAUUAGGUGUGGGUGGGUAGGGGAGCGUCGCGUGUUGGGGUGAAGCUUGGGUGUAAACCCUGGUGGACUACACGCGAGUGAGAAUGCAGGCAUGAGUAACGAUUAGGCGGGUGAGAAUCCCGUCCGCCGAUUGACUAAGGGUUCCAGGGCUAGGUUUAUCCGCCCUGGGUUAGUCGGGUCCUAAGGCGAGGCCGACAGGCGUAGUCGAUGGACAACCAGUUGAUAUUCUGGUACCGGUGUUAGAUCGACAAAUACUAAUCCAUUAAAAGCACGAACGCAGUAAACAAUCCUUGUUUCUUCGGAAACAUGGUUUGGAGCUUGUCUUUGUGUGGCUGGUGGUGCGGUAAGCGUAUUAACAGGGGGGACGCAGAGUGGUAGCCCACGCUGGCCGGUGGUUGUGCCAGUUCAACGUCGCAGCCCGUUUCCUAGGCAAAUCCGGGAGACAUGAGGGUGAGGACGGAUAAAACAACACCUACAGUGUUGUUGUGGGGGAGCCUGAGCUGCCUAGAAAAGCCUCGACGCGAGAGCUAACACCGCCCGUACCCUAAACCGACACAGGUGGUCAGGUAGAGUAUACCGAGGCGUGCGAGUGAAUCAUGGUUAAGGAACUCGGCAAAAUGCCCCCGUAACUUCGGGAGAAGGGGGACCCCGCCCGGACACUCACGUCAACGUGAGACUGAUUUGGGAGGGGUCGCAGUGAAUAGGGAGAAGCGACUGUUUACUAAAAACAUAGGUGCGUGCGAAGCCGUAAGGCGAUGUAUACGCACUGACGCCUGCCCGGUGCUGGAAGGUUAAGCGGAAAGCUCAACACCCUCGGGUGUGAAGGUUUGAAGUUAAGCCCCAGUAAACGGCGGUGGUAACUAUAACCAUCCUAAGGUAGCGAAAUUCCUUGUCGGGUAAGUUCCGACCUGCACGAAUGGCGUAACGACUUCUCCGCUGUCUCAACCAUGAACUCGGUGAAAUUGCAAUACGAGUAAAGAUGCUCGUUUCGCGCAGCAGGACGGAAAGACCCCGGGACCUUUACUAUAGCUUGGUAUUGGUAGCCGGUUGUGUUUGUGUAGGAUAGGUGGGAGACUAUGAAACCCGCACGCCAGUGUGGGUGGAGUCAACGUUGAAAUACCACUCUGAUACAAACGGUUAUCUAACCCAGGUCCGUAAUCCGGAUCAGGGACAGUGCCUGGUGGGUAGUUUAACUGGGGCGGUUGCCUCCCAAAAAGUAACGGAGGCGCUCAAAGGUUCUCUCAGCCUGGUUGGUAAUCAGGUGUCGAGCGUAAGUGUAGAAGAGAGCUUGACUGCGACACUGACAGGUGAAGCAGGUACGAAAGUAGGAACUAGUGAUCCGGCCGUGGUUCGUGGAAACGCGGUCGCUCAACGGAUAAAAGGUACCCCGGGGAUAACAGGCUGAUCUUGCCCAAGAGUCCAUAUCGACGGCAUGGUUUGGCACCUCGAUGUCGGCUCGUCGCAUCCUGGGGCUGGAGUUGGUCCCAAGGGUUGGGCUGUUCGCCCAUUAAAGCGGUACGCGAGCUGGGUUUAGAACGUCGUGAGACAGUUCGGUCCCUAUCCGCUGCGCGCGCAGGAAACUUGAGAAGACCUGUCCCUAGUACGAGAGGACCGGGACGGACGAACCUCUGGUGUGCCAGUUGUACCGCCAGGUG